AACGAACGCUGGCGGCAUGCCUAACACAUGCAAGUCGAACGAGACCUUCGGGUCUAGUGGCGCACGGGUGCGUAACGCGUGGGAACCUGCCCUUAGGUUCGGAAUAACUCCCCGAAAGGGGUGCUAAUACCGGAUAAUGUCUUCGGACCAAAGAUUUAUCGCCUUUGGAUGGGCCCGCGUUGGAUUAGCUAGUUGGUAGGGUAAAAGCCUACCAAGGCGACGAUCCAUAGCUGGUCUGAGAGGAUGAUCAGCCACACUGGGACUGAGACACGGCCCAGACUCCUACGGGAGGCAGCAGUGGGGAAUAUUGGACAAUGGGCGAAAGCCUGAUCCAGCAAUGCCGCGUGAGUGAUGACGGCCUUAGGGUUGUAAAGCUCUUCUACCCGGGAUGAUAAUGACAGUACCGGGAGAAUAAGCUCCGGCUAACUCCGUG
rnacentral:rRNA from 1 species